rnacentral:lncRNA from 1 species
CUGGACGGUUGACAGCUUGAACUGACGUUUCAUUGUGUUUGAAAUUUUCACGCUUCAAACAAGUCGCUCUGUUUCUGCUGCUACUUUUUCAUUUAUAAUCAGUUAAUUUGCAAGUAAACGCAGAAAAUUUGGUGAAAAUGUGAAAAAAGCUUGCUGCUCUUCCCGCUGGCCCUGCGGAAGGCUAAUUUGGCUGAGAUUUUACAAUUUAGCCAUCUCCUAGUGGACUGAAUCAACUGGCCCUCAAUGUUCUCCGCCGUGAAAUCAUUUUGUUUCUUCGAAACAGGUUCAUCAAUCAACUCGGGAGUGCGAGAGCUCGAGCCUCGUUGCCGAGCCAUGGAUGGCGCCGCGAAAGUUAUAAAUUCUUGAAUGUUCCGCCCUGAAGGAUGCCCAACACAGGAAAAGAAAAUAAUUUGGAAAUAAAUAAUGCUGUGUGGAAACGC